GACGGACGCUGGCGGCGUGCCUAAUACAUGCGAGUAGAACGCACAGUUUAUACCGUAGCUUGCUCCACCAUAGACUGUGAGUUGCGAACGGGUGAGUAACGCGUAGGUAACCUGCCUGGUAGCGGGUGAUAACUAUUGGAAACGAUAGCUAAUACCGCAUAAUAUUAAUUAUUGCAUGAUAAUUGAUUGAAAGAUGCAACUGCAUCACUACCAGAUGGACCUGCGUUGUAUUAGCUAGUAGGUGAGGUAACGGCUCACCUAGGCGACGAUACAUAGCCGACCUGAGAGGGGGAUCGGACACACUGGGACUGAGACACGGCCCAGACUCCUACGGGAGGCAGCAGUAGGGAAUCUUCGGCAAUGGACGAAAGUCUGACCGAGCAACGCCGCGUGAGUGAAGAAGGGUUUCGGAUCGUAAAGAUCUGUUGUAAGAGAAGAACGGGUAUGAGAGUGGAAAGUUCACACUGUGACGGUAUCUUAACAGAAAGGGACGGCUAACUACGUG
rnacentral:rRNA from 1 species